CACGUAGGGCGCGAGCGUUGUCCGGAAUUAUUGGGCGUAAAGAGCUCGUAGGCGGCCUGUUGCGUCCGCUGUGAAAGCCCGGGGCUUAACCCCGGGUCGGCAGUGGAUACGGGCAGGCUAGAGGUAGGUAGGGGAGAAUGGAAUUCCCGGUGUAGCGGUGAAAUGCGCAGAUAUCGGGAGGAACACCGGUGGCGAAGGCGGUUCUCUGGGCCUUACCUGACGCUGAGGAGACGAAGCGUGGGGAGCGAACAGG
rnacentral:rRNA from 1 species